UGCCAGCCGCCGCGGUAAUACACAGGGCUCAAGCGUUAAUCGGAAUCACUGGGCUUAAAGGGUGCGUAGGCGGGCCUGUAAGUAUCUUGUGAAAUCCCACGGCUCAACCGUGGAAUUGCUUGGUAGACUGCAGGCCUUGAGGUUGGUAGGGGCUGUCGGAACUCUAGGUGUAGCGGUGAAAUGCGUAGAUAUCUAGAGGAACACCAAAGGUGAAGACAGGCAGCUGGGCCAAUCCUGACGCUGAGGCACGAAAGCGUGGGUAGCGAACGGGAUUAGAUA
rnacentral:rRNA from 1 species